UCGUUUUACAUGAGAGGAAACUAGUCACAGUGGGUUAAAAAAAAAAAAUCAGGAGCCACCUGUAAAUUAGCAAGGGAUCAUUUGGUGUUUACAAAUUCUGCCCCCACAAAAAAUACUGAAAUGCAAAGAAAGGAUGGACCCCAAAGUUUAAAGGUAGGGAGUCUAAUCCCCCUAGAUCUUCAACACACUGCUUAGGACUUGCUCUGUCCCAGAACAUGUCCCCAUGCAAGGGGGAUGGAGUUCACCAUGGAGAGGGAAUGACAUUCCUUAAGAUCUGUUCCUAGGGAGGAAAAUACAUAAACAGUCAAACCUUAUGACUCACCCAAAUGAGGAUCCCUUUCCUUAUACUGUCUUCAGUGAAUCUUAACACCUUAAAGAAUCAUGUGUUUACAUCAAACUUCUGUCUGGUGAGUAACAAUUCCUGCUUAUUGGUUCCUUUUUCAGAAUUCGGCCACACCCAGGGGAUAAGGAAGGCUCUCCAAGCUCAUCAUCUCUAAUAUUUUAAUAUAGUAUAUGAUAUAUAAAUUAAUAUAUUAAUGAUAUAUUAAUAUAUUUCAGGAGAGGGGCCCAUUGAGUGAGAGCUGCUCUAACUGCAAGUCUCUCAGCCCCCAUCCUCUCCCAGGCUCCAGGAUGGUGGUUCUGAGGAUCGCUGGGGUCCCAGGGAUGGCAGCUCUCGUGAUGUCCUUGGUGAUGCUGAGCUCCCCUUUGGUUCAGAGCAGAGACACCCCAGGUCCAAGAUAUGUGCUCCUAGGAAACUGAAGAUACAGAGACCAAGGAAAGGCCCUGGAGUCAAAAAGAAGGCACCAGAAAUGUCUAACACACACAGGCUGCCUCCUCUUUUGCACUGUGUCCCUGGUACCAGCACUGGAAUGACUCACAGGAGCCCCUGCACCUGGGGAUGCUGUCGGGCCACCUGGUCUUCAGGACAGCGAUGCCAGUGAGGAUGCCUGCCACACCUGCCACCAGGCCCAGGACACAGACCACAGUCCCUUUCAUCUCAGGCACUUGGAUCAGCUCCUGAGCCUCUGAGGCACAAAGGAAAGACAGAGUUAAAAGGCGCAGAGAGCAAGAGCUGGCCUCAGGUGUAGGAGUAUGAAGAGUUAAAAAUUGUGAGAUCACCAGUGAAGUUUGGAUAAAGUGACAAUAAGACACAUGAGAUUAAGGAAAGCAGGUGCUGCUGAGAGAUGGAUCCUGGAAAUAAAGAUGGUGUCAGGACAGCAC